UCAUCAUGUAGGAUAAUCCUUACUUGUUCCUCCCCUUGGAAGGCAGUUAGGAAAUGAUGAUUGGAGUUCAUAUAAUACUUGAUUAGUAUCUCUGUUUAAUCAGGACAUACAAUGCCCUGAUUUUUCCUCUCUGAU
ensembl:snoRNA U8 U8 small nucleolar RNA